GCGGGUGUAGCUCAAUUGGCAGAGCGCCACGUUGCCAUCGUGGAGGUCGAGGGUUCGAGUCCCUUCACCCGCU
rnacentral:tRNA from 1 species